rnacentral:lncRNA from 1 species
UAAAGACACCCUGUGCCAGUGUGUGUGGCGGGCAGGCGGGUCACGCGGCCACUUCCCCUGAAUGGCUCCAAUGUGCUCCUCUCCAGGAUCCCUGUCCCCAGGGGAAGAGGGAGGCCGGGCCUGAAUGGCCCAGUGUCCUCCACUCAGGGAGGAGAAGCCUCCCAGCAUUCACCGGGGAACUCCCCGCCGGUGAGAAAGCAGCUCUCAGGGAAGGUGGGGGAGGGUGGCAAGGAGCAGGUGCAUCGCAUCGCAGCCAUCUACCCCGGAGAUCGGCUGGCCGUUGCGAAGGUCUGCUAACUACGGAGACAGCCAGAGAGCCCGAGCGGUGGAGACAGCCAGAGAGCCCGAGCGGUGGCGACAGCCCUCACCGCGGCCCGGGUUGGGAUCCUGAUGUGGCUUCUCCCAGGCCAGGCCAGGAGAGCUGACUGAUGAAGUUAAAGACUGCAGCCCUCUUUGCCCAGGUCUGCUCCAAGGGUGCCGAUUCAUCUGAAUUAGAGCCAGGAAAGGAUGCGGCCAAAUUGCCUCUUUUAAAGCUAAAUAAAUGAAAAUGUAAAGAAGGUAAGUGACUCGUCCAAGGUGGCUAUCUAAGUCUUUUUUCCUGUCACUGUAACAAAAUGCCACAGACUGGUCAUUUAUAAAGGCAAGAAGUUUAUUUAGCUUGCAUUUCAAGAGGCCUGAAGUCCACACCUGACAAG